AAGCGCUACGUGACGGGUUAGGAACGAUCCGAUCAGUCACAAAAUUUACUCCACGACCUAGACCAGUUCAUCCACUAACUCGUCCCGCUGCGUCAAGGCACAAGGCUUUGCAACCCGUUCCUAGAGUUAGCGUUUUCCGUUAGAUCGAGGCCUAAGGAUUUUCAACCUAUACCACAACCUAACGUUGUGUUAGAACGGACUAGUCAAAUAUCAGAGUACUCAUGAAGCGCAUAUAAAACAAUUACUUUUAUUGAUUCAAGAAAUACCCAUACACUGAUAUAAUUCGAGACCGGUCCCGGUCUAAUGCCAAAUCGAGUCAACUAAACACAAAUCCACAAUACCGUUAACAAAAGACAUGCAAAUCUACACCGGCGGUCCUAACGCCCAACACCAAGCUAUCCGAUCAUCCUUACUAAAGCUACCUGCAAAAAGAACAACAGAGUUGGAUGAGUAAUCUAGUAUUACUUAGUGAAUUAUUAUCCCCA
rnacentral:lncRNA from 1 species